rnacentral:tRNA from 1 species
GAGGGUAUAGCUCAGUGGUAGAGCACAUACUUAGCAUGCACAAGGUCCUGGGUUCAAUCCCCAGUACUUCCA